rnacentral:rRNA from 1 species
CGGUUGAUCCUGCCGGACCUGACUGCUAUCGGAUUGAUACUAAGACAUGCGAGUCAUUGUAGCAAUACAAGGCAGACGGCUCAGUAACGCGUAGUCAAUCUACCCUACCGGACGGGAAUAACCUCGGGAAACUGAGAAUAAUGCCCGAUAGAACAUUAUGCCUGGAAUGGUUUAUGUUUCAAAUGAUUUAUCGCCAUAGGAUGGGACUGCGGCCUAUCAGUUUGUUGGUUGAGGUAAUGGCCCACCAAGGACUAUUUACAGGUACGGGACUCUGAGAGGAGUAGCCCGGAGAUGGGUACUGAGACACGGACCCCAGGCCCCUAUGGGGCGCAGCAGGCGAGAAAACUUUGGCAAUGUGCGAAAGCACCGACAAGGUUAAUCCGAGUGGUUUCUGCUAAAGAAAACCUUUUUGUCAGUCCUAGAAACACUAACGAAUAAGGGGUGGGCAAGUUCUGGUGCCAGCCGCCGCGGUAAAACCAGCACCUCAAGUGGUCAGGAUGAUUAUUGGGCCUAAAGUAUCCGUUAGCUCGUUUUUGGUAAGUUUUUGGUUUAAAUCCAUACGCUUAACGUAUGGUGCUGCCGGGAAUACUUGCAUAACUAGGAAAGUGGGAGAGGUAGACCGGUACUCGGUAGGAAGGGGUAAAAUCCUUUGAUCUAUUGAUGACCACCUGUGGCGAAGGCGGUCUACCAGAACACGUUCGACGGUGAGGGAUCGAAAGCUGGGGGAGCUAAACCGGAUCUAGAUACCCGGGUAGUCUCCAGCUCGUAAACUAUGCAAACUCAGUGAUGCAUUGGCUUGUGGCCAAUGCAGUGCUGCAGGGGGGCCGUUAAGUUUGCCGCCUGGGAAGUACGUACGCAAGUAUCGAAACUUAAAGGAAUCUGGCGGGGG